CCUACGGGAGGCAGCAGUGAGGAAUAUUGGUCAAUGGACGAGAGUCUGAACCAGCCAAGUAGCGUGAAGGAUGACUGCCCUAUGGGUUGUAAACUUCUUUUAUAUGGGAAUAAAACGUUCCACGUGUGGGAUUUUGUAUGUACCAUAUGAAUAAGGAUCGGCUAACUCCGUGCCAGCAGCCGCGGUAAUACGGAGGAUCCGAGCGUUAUCCGGAUUUAUUGGGUUUAAAGGGAGCGUAGGUGGGUUGUUAAGUCAGUUGUGAAAGUUUGCGGCUCAACCGUAAAAUUGCAGUUGAUACUGGCAGUCUUGAGUACAGUAGAGGUAGGCGGAAUUCGUGGUGUAGCGGUGAAAUGCUUAGAUAUCACGAAGAACUCCGAUUGCGAAGGCAGUUCACUGGACUGCAACUGACACUGAGGCUCGAAAGUGUGGGUAUCAAACAGGAUUAGAUACCCUUGUAGUC
rnacentral:rRNA from 1 species